rnacentral:rRNA from 1 species
GGCAUCUGGCUACCAUGCAAGUCGAGGGGCAGCGGGUUGAAAGCUUGCUUUCAAUGCCGGCGACCGGCGCACGGGUGCGUAACGCGUAUCAAACCUGCCUCAUACUCGGGGAUAGCCUUGCGAAAGUAAGAUUAAUACCCGAUGUUGUUGCUUUCUCGCAUGGGAGAGUAACCAAAGAUUUAUCGGUAUGAGAUGGUGAUGCGUCCGAUUAGGUAGUAGGCGGGGUAACGGCCCACCUAGCCUUCGAUCGGUAGGGGUUCUGAGAGGAAGGUCCCCCACACUGGAACUGAGACACGGUCCAGACUCCUACGGGAGGCAGCAGUGAGGAAUAUUGGUCAAUGGGCGAGAGCCUGAACCAGCCAAGUAGCGUGCAGGAUGACGGCCCUCCGGGUUGUAAACUGCUUUUAGUUGGGAAUAAAAAAAGGGACUUGUCCCUUCUUGUAUGUACCUUCAGAAAAAGGACCGGCUAAUUCCGUGCCAGCAGCCGCGGUAAUACGGAAGGUCCAGGCGUUAUCCGGAUUUAUUGGGUUUAAAGGGAGCGUAGGCGGAUUGUUAAGUCAGCGGUUAAAGGGUGUGGCUCAACCAUGCAUUGCCGUUGAAACUGGCGAUCUUGAGUGCAGACAGGGAUGCCGGAAUUCGUGGUGUAGCGGUGAAAUGCUUAGAUAUCACGAAGAACUCCGAUCGCGAAGGCAGGUGUCCGGGCUGCAACUGACGCUGAGGCUCGAAAGUGUGGGUAUCAAACAGGAUUAGAUACCCUGGUAGUCCACACAGUAAACGAUGUCAAUUAGCUGUUGGGCAACUUGAUUGCUUUAGUAGCGUAGCUAACGCGUGAAAUUGACCGCCCUGGGGGAGUACGGUCGCAAGAUUAAAACUCAAAGGAAUUGACGGA